GGAGAGGUGCCUGAGUGGUUGAAAGGGGCACCCUGCUAAGGUGUUAUACCUUAAUCGGUAUCGAGGGUUCGAAUCCCUCCCUCUCCGCCA
rnacentral:tRNA from 1 species